AGGACGACGCUGGCGGCGUGCCUAAUACAUGCAAGUCGAACGGUCUUUCUAUGGAAGCUUGCUUCCACUGAGAAGAUAGUGGCGAACGGGUGAGUAACACGUGGGUAACCUGCCCAUAAGAGGGGGAUAACAUCCGGAAACGGGUGCUAAUACCGCAUAGUUUUCUUGAUCGCAUGAUCGGGAAAGGAAAGACGGCCUUUGUGCUGUCGCUUAUGGAUGGACCCGCGGCGUAUUAGUUAGUUGGUGAGGUAACGGCUCACCAAGACGAUGAUACGUAGCCGACCUGAGAGGGUGAUCGGCCACAUUGGGACUGAGACACGGCCCAAACUCCUACGGGAGGCAGCAGUAGGGAAUCUUCCGCAAUGGACGAAAGUCUGACGGAGCAACGCCGCGUGAGUGAAGAAAGGUUUUCGGAUCGUAAAACUCUGUUGUCAGAGAAGAACAAGUUGGAGAGUAACUGCUCCAGCCUUGACGGUAUCUGACCAGAAAGCCACGGCUAACUACGUGCCAGCAGCCGC
rnacentral:rRNA from 1 species